rnacentral:lncRNA from 1 species
AGACAUGGUAGGGUGGGCUCGAUGAGGGGGCGCUGCACGUGCAGGUGGAAUCCACAGUGGAAGGUGUGUGGCGUCACCACCCUGGAGAAGAAAACGGUGUCCUGAUGGCCACAGGCAGCUUGGAGGGAGAAGCAGAAAGAGUGAAGCCACCCGAUUGGCCCACGGGACAGAAGGAUGCAUCACGGCUUUCUGAAAUGAAAUAUUAGACUUGGGAACAAAGUGGUGAAUAUGAAUGCAACCGACGGCUCUGCUGACACAGCAGAUAAUGGCUUGAAGGGUGAAAACUCCAGACCAGGUCUGCGACCAGCCUUUCACAGCAGAGAGAUGGCUCUGAAGCUUGGGAGCAGCCAGGAGGUUGGAUGUGCUUGAGAUUUCUGCAAAAGAAGAGGGGGGAUGGGCAGCUUACAUGUGGGGGCUCUCCCGUCAUGUCUCAGUCCUGCCCUGCACAGCGGUGUCUCCUUCGGGCUUUUCCUCACUCAGGAAGAUGUUUGUUGAGUGGCUUCUACUGUCACUACUAAAAGCGGAAGGUGCCGCGGGCACCACCCUCUGAGGUGAACUGUCAGUGAGCCCUCUGCAUUGGGAGAGCGGGCAGGGCUGCCCCGUUCCCUUGACCCCGACCUCUUUGCACUGGGAGUGGCUGGGGGGAGAGGCUUCCCUGCCCGUGGCGGAGGGGGGGAUUCUGUUUCAAUCACCUCUUCUCCACUCGUUGCUGAGGGAGGGAUUGCCACCCUAGAGUUAGGGGGAUGAUCCUGCUGGACAGAUGGACAGCAGUGUAUUACUCACGUGUGCUCUCGGCCUGGGGGAGGAGGACACGGCACACGGCACAGGACCACACGGGGGUGCCCUCGGGAACAGCGUGAGCCAGCAGGGCUGUGGGCAGUGGCCGUUGCGGUAAGGAGGGUGGGGUGCCCUGGUUCCAGUGGGAGAGUGUGACUGGCCGUGUGAACGGUUCUGCGGGUGGGCAGGAAACUAAACCCGCAGCUCAGGGAUGAGCAGGAGCUGCCUCCGGACCAUCUGACAAGAGGCUGUUUGGGGGGACCUUCGGGUGGAGCAGAGUGCCGAGGGGGACUUGCAGGUGCACUGUUGCAGGCUCUCCCGACUCUACCAAGUGUCCAGGCAGCACACACUCUUGAACCUCGGUUCUAAGCCCUGUGCCCUGAAACGGGAUGCUCCAAGAAGUCACUGGUAGGGACAGGAGGGCCUACCAGGAGGGGAGCAGACAGCUCGCCUACCUGCAGACUUGCAGCUGAGUCCCGCUGCCCUGCCUGAGCUGCCGGGGUGCAGACAGGAGACCCUGGGGGCCUGAGCACCGUCCCCGGGCAGCUCCACAGCUCACUCACAAGGUGCAGAAGAGGCCCCAGGGGGUCCUACAACUUCACUCGAAUGGGCACGGAGGUCCCAGAACAUCACAGGCUGCCCAGGUGGUCGAAGCAAGUAGUCGUUCAGCCACUCCAGAACAGGAUGGAUGGGGGAGUGCCGGUCCUCGAAGACUGAGGGGGGAGGCUGGGGGGAC